AACAAACGCUGGCGGCGUGCCUAAUACAUGCAAGUCGAACGGGGAAAGCUUUCGGGUGAGUACUAGUGGCGCACGGGUGAGUAACGCGUGGAUAAUCUGCCUUAGAGUGGGGGAUAACUAGUCGAAAGAUUAGCUAAUACCGCAUAAGACCACAAGAACUGCGGUUCAAGGGGUCAAAGGCUUUUCGCUCUAAGAUGAGUCCGCGUAAGAUUAGCUAGUUGGUAGGGUAACGGCCUACCAAGGCGACGAUCUUUAACUGGUCUGAGAGGAUGAUCAGUCACACUGGAACUGAGACACGGUCCAGACUCCUACGGGAGGCAGCAGUUGGGAAUAUUGCACAAUGGAGGAAACUCUGAUGCAGCGACGCCGCGUGAGUGAUGAAGGCCUUCGGGUCGUAAAGCUCUGUCGCAGGGGAAUAACACAAUGAAGGUACCCUGUAAGAAAGGAUCGGCUAACUUCGUGCCAGCAGCCGCAGUAACAC
rnacentral:rRNA from 1 species